rnacentral:lncRNA from 1 species
UCUUUAAAGUGUUAGCUGAACUGUUCCCUAUUCUUCCCUUCUAAACACAAGAGCGUGUGGGUUGGUUCCACUGGUGAAGAAUCCAGCCCAUCAGCAAAGGGCCGCCGAGCCUCUAUUGUGAGUCAAGAUAAGGACUAUCUUCUUCCCUCCCUCUUGGUGUUCUCCACUGGCUAAACCUGUCAUUGCAAGCUAUGCAUAUGAACAACGUGUCCUGCCACAUAGGAAUAUGGCUGGAAGCUAUUCUGUACUGAAUCAGCAUGGGAUAGAGUGCCUAGAAGACGUUCAGACCAAGCACAGCUAGCGCGUCCCUGCUGGUUCUCCAUUCUGCAUCCGUGCAGCCACGUUCUAUUGAUGGCCUGUUGUGAUUUCAAUGGAACAUCAUGGGAUGUACCUGGCACGUCGGGCAGCACUGGAUGGAGGUGCCUUUAG